UUGAACUCUACUUAUUUCUUUAAAAAGGCUUCCCUGACUCUCUUCUGCAUGGCUUGCUGUGUUUGAAGAAAAAUAAUAUCCAAAAUCUUCUAUGGCAGCACUGAAAGCAAAGAUGCUGUGAAAACGACUUUCCAGGGGAGGAAACAUUCGUAAAAGCUGUUCAUAGCCGUUACUAAACAUCAUUUAAUCAAAGGGGAGAAGAACUAAAGUUGCCUUGACAGUUUUGAGCACUGUGUGAGGACAAAUGUGAUAUCUAAUUUGAUUCAAUUAAGGUUUAAAAAGAUGCUAAUCUCUGUUGCUGUUGAAAUUCUGCAAAACUCACCAGUGGCCUAUUUCCUGAGCAGAAAGUCUAGAGGCAUCCAUAGCCAGAUUUGAGGCCCAUGCAGUGAAGACGGUAGAAGAAAAUGGUCAAAGUUUGUGUUCUCUUCUUAGGAUGCUCAUUCUGAUGUCUAAAAGUGUGUACAAUUUCUGCUGCCUGCUCAAUUCUACUUUACUUGCCCUUUUAGAAAUUUAGCAUCAUAUCAAGAUUCCUCAAAGCAAAAAUUGCAUUAACUAUGACAGUUUUAGCCUCACUUAGAAUUUUAGUCUUGAUCUGUCACUGAAGUCUUGGCUCCUUGGUCCUUGCAUGUAAUUCAGUGGUUGGACAUGAACUUAGAAAUCACUUUAAGACUAAAAAUGUAAAUCUGGUCUAAAAAACUGAGCAUUAGUCAGCUGUCAUUUAUUUCAUAUGUAUUUGUUAUACACCUAUUGUGUUCCAAACAUUAUAUGACACCGAGAUGACAAAGAUGAAUCUAACUUAUUCCCUUGCCUCAAAAACACCUGAAGUGCUGGACAAGAGAGGCAAGUAAGUUAAUGCUAUAAUAGUGUAAUAAGUGUUGUGUUAUAGAAACACAAUGUGCCUAUGAAAACACAGAGAGAGGCUUCUCUAACUAAAUGAGAGGAAGAGCUUACUUGAAUCAAACUUCAGAUGAUAGAGGUAGGAAAGAUUUCCCAGAAUAAAAAAAGAGGAAAGGGACAGAAAUAUGAGACAGCAAGAUGUGUUGCAUAAUCAGAUGAAAGUUUCAUGUGGAGAAUUAGAGGAAUGUGAGUCUAGAAAGAUUAGACAAAAAUAAUUUAAGAACCUGAAUGUUAACCUGCAGGCUGUGAACUUUAUCCUUAAAAACAAUAUUGGAAGUCUGUGCAAGAAAGUAAUGGGGUCACAUCUAUACUUCAGAACUCUAUUAAAAUGUGAAAUAGCUAUACAUCAUCAUUUUUUUAAAAAAAUUUAAUCUUGUUUUAUCCAUUUAUCAUAACUCAAAUCCCACCAGGCCAAUGUUGGUUCUUACAUUUUACUCCAAUCAAGAGAUGUCAUGAUUCCUCUUUGCAUUAUCCCUUCAGAAAAAAAAUACCCCUUAAGGAGCCGAAUAAUCUCCUUAACUACUUUGGGGAAAAGUUGAAGGUGUCUCCAAAUAUUAAAUCCAAUUCUCAGGAGAGAAAAAAAUAUAUAUAUAUAAAUAACAUUGCUACAGCAUGUUACCUUCUAAUCUGAUGAUCGAAAAGGAAUUAGUGGAAGCCCCUUGAGAAGACAAUUACGUAGUUAUUCUUGAUCUGUGGGGGUUGAGUAGAAAGCAGAUGACAUGGUCAUAUUAUUUAUUUCUAGAAUCUUAGAAUCUUGGACUUAAGUAUUGAGCCUUCUGACUCAAUAGUUUAUAAAAUAAAUGCAAUCAUAACUGUAUUCCUCCUCCAAAUAAAAGAAACUAUACACCAUUACUCAUGGUAACUACUCAAUAAGGGUAUUUGGAAAGAAGUAAGAUGUAGGAUCUUUUCAAGAUAUUGCUUUACAAUGCCUCCUUUAGAAUGGACCUGAAUGAAUUGAUAAAUUCCUAUCUCUACCUGCCUUAAGAACGAUAAUAUUUCUGUUUAACUUUUGCAAAUGACCUAUUCUGAACUAUAAAUACAACGGUAAAGUCUCCUAAUGAUCAACCUAUUGGUCCAAAGAUUUUUCAAAUGGAAAUGUUGUAUAAGUAUCUUGGCUUAAUGCCUUAUUAACGUUACAUACACACACACACACCCCUCAAAAAGAAUACCAGAGUAAUUUUAUGAAAGCCACACAAAUAGAAGGCCUCGUAUUCAUUUAAACAUUUUGAAUUCUACUGAUUUAGAGCAGACUUAAGAAUAUCAAAAUGUAUAACUGAUGCCAGAAUUUGUUCUUGAACAGUGCCAGAACCUCUUUUUUAUUAGUAUUUCUCUCUCUCUCUCUCUCUUUCUUUUUCUUUCUUUCUGAUGGAGUCUGGCUCUGUCCCCCAGGCUGGAGUGCAGUGGCGCCAUCUCUGCUC